rnacentral:rRNA from 1 species
CCAGACUCCUACGGGAGGCAGCAGUGAGGAAUAUUGGUCAAUGGGCGGGAGCCUGAACCAGCCAAGUCGCGUGAGGGACGACGGUCCUAUGGAUUGUAAACCUCUUUUGUCGGGGAACAAGGGCGCCCACGGGUGGGCGGAUGAGUGUACCCGAAGAAAAAGCAUCGGCUAACUCCGUGCCAGCAGCCGCGGUAAUACGGAGGAUGCGAGCGUUAUCCGGAUUUAUUGGGUUUAAAGGGUGCGUAGGCGGACAGUCAAGUCAGCGGAAAAAAUGCGGUGCUCACCCCCUUCCCGCCAUUGAAACUGGCGUUCUUGAGUGGAAGAGAAGUAUGCGGAAUGCGUGGUGUAGCGGUGAAAUGCAUAGAUAUCACGCAGAACCCCGAUUGCGAAGGCAGCAUGCCGGCUUCCGACUGACGCUGAAGCACGAAAGCGUGGGGAUCGAACAGGAUUAGAUACCCCUGUAGA